rnacentral:rRNA from 1 species
GUGGGGAAUCUUGCGCAAUGGGCGAAAGCCUGACGCAGCCAUGCCGCGUGAAUGAUGAAGGUCUUAGGAUUGUAAAAUUCUUUCACCGGGGACGAUAAUGACGGUACCCGGAGAAGAAGCUCCGGCUAACUUCGUGCCAGCAGCCGCGGUAAUACGAAGGGGGCUAGCGUUGCUCGGAAUUACUGGGCGUAAAGGGCGCGUAGGCGGACAGCUUAGUCAGAGGUGAAAGCCCAGGGCUCAACCUUGGAAUUGCCUUUGAUACUGGCUGUCUUGAGUUUGGGAGAGGUGAGUGGAACUCCGAGUGUAGAGGUGAAAUUCGUAGAUAUUGGGAAGAACACCGGUGGCGAAGGCGGCUCACUGGACCGACAUUGACGCUGAGGCGCGAAAGCGUGGGGAGCAAACAGGAUUAGAAACCCGGGUAGUCC